rnacentral:rRNA from 1 species
UACGUAGGGGGCAAGCGUUGUCCGGAAUCAUUGGGCGUAAAGAGCGCGCAGGCGGUCGUGUAAGUCGAAUGUGAAAGCCCCUGGCUCAACUAGGGAGAGUCAUUCGAUACUGUUCGACUCGAAGGCAGGAGAGGGAAGUGGAAUUCCGGGUGUAGUGGUGAAAUGCGUAGAUAUCCGGAGGAACACCAGUGGCGAAGGCGACUUUCUGGCCUGUUCUUGACGCUGAGGCGCGAAAGCUAGGGGAGCAAACGGG